rnacentral:lncRNA from 1 species
UGGGUGCAUCAGCUCUUUAUAAUCUAUCAGCGCUUGUAUACAGAUUAUGUGUCUCCCAUUUGAUACGAUAUUCCAUUUCCUUGUAUUUUCUAUCAUUACAUCUUUGAUUAAUAGUUGCUGUUCACAAGGGAGCUAAUAAACCGCGAUAAAGAGUUGAACUCAUCCCCUUGUAUAAUUAUCGUACACCCUCACGAGUUGCGUUAUGGAAUAACUUUCACAGGUGACGCCUAUAUGUUCCAAUUCUCGUAACUUAAAGAGUCAUAUUUCGCCAUUCGUGAAUCUUGGACAUUUGUAAGUGCGGUCGGGGAAUAGGGCAUCGUGUCUGUUAUGGAAUAUACAUAACCCUUGUUGAUAAAUAUUCCGUAUAAACUUCACAAAUAAUACAUGAUGGUCCUGGUGUGAAGAUUCUAGGUGCUGACGUUGACUAUCUUCUUAAUUAUGUAUACUUGUUAUAGUGUUCUUUAUGUCUUUGUAAAUUAUCAACCUUUACUGUUAAAA